GUGAACGAUUAAGGGCGCGCGGUGGAUGCCUAGGCUCUCGGAGGCGAUGAAGGACGUGAUAAGCCGCGAUAGGCCACGGCGAGGUGCAAGUAACCCUUGACCCGUGGAUUUCCGAAUGGGGCAACCCGGCCGUCUGGAUGACGGUCAUGCGUUACACGCAAGCGAACGCGGGGAACUGAAACAUCUCAUUACCCGCAGGAGAAGAAAACAACAGUGAUUCCCCCAGUAGUGGCGAGCGAACGGGGAAGAGCCCAAACCGGUACCGUUUCGGCGAUACCGGGGUCAUGGGACCACGACAUUCGACGGUGAACGAAGUGCAAUUACCUGGAAAGGUAAGCCGCGGAGGGUGAUAGCCCCGUGCACGACAGUGACAUCGAAGAUAGUGGUAUCCCGAGUAGGGCGGGACACGAGGAAUCCUGCCUGAAUUCGCCAGGACCCCCUGGCAAGGCUAAAUACUCCCGAGAGACCGAUAGUGAACCAGUACCGCGAGGGAAAGGUGAAAAGUACCCCGAGCAGGGGGGUGAAAUAGACCCUGAACCCGCGCGCCUACAAGCGGUCGGAGCUGCCUUGUGCAGUGACGGCGUGCCUUUUGCAUAAUGAGCCUACGAGUUAGUCGUCACCAGCGAGGUUAAGGGCUUCAGGCCCGUUAGCCGAAGUGAAAGCGAGCCUUAACAGGGCGUCGAGUUGGUGGCGCUAGACGCGAAACCUUGUGAUCUACCCUCGUGCAGGUUGAAGUCCCGGUAACACGGGAUGGAGGACCGAACCGGUAAACGUUGAAAAGUUUUCGGAUGACGCGAGGGUAGGGGUGAAAGGCCAAUCAAACUGGGAAAUAGCUCGUACUCUCCGAAAUGCAUUUCGGUGCAGCCUGUGGUGUUCUGUUCUAGAGGUAGAGCUACUGAUUGGACGCGAGGGCUUCACCGCCUAUCAAAUCCGGAUAAACUCCGAAUGCUAGAACAUCAAACCAUGGAGUGAGCCCGCGGGUGCUAAGGUCCGCGGACGAGAGGGGAAGAACCCAGACCACCGGCUAAGGUCCCGGAUGGACGGUUAAGUUGAUAAAACGAGGUGGGAUCGCGGAGACAGCUAGGAUGUUGGCUUGGAAGCAGCCAUUCAUUUAAAGAGUGCGUAACAGCUCACUAGUCGAGCGAUCCCGCGUGGAUAAUACACGGGCAUCAAACCGUCAACCGAAGCCGUGGGGUCAGUUAAAAACUGACCGGUAGGAGAGCAUUCCUGCCCGCGUCGAAGGUCACCCGCGAGAGUGACUGGAGCGGCAUGAAAAGCAAAUGUAGGCAUAAGUAACGAUAAUGGGGGCGAGAACCCCCCACGCCGUAAGACCAAGGAUUCCCCGGCAAUGUCAAUCAGCCGGGGGUCAGCCGGCCUCUAAGGCUAACCCGAAGGGGGAUGCCGACGAGAAACGGGUUAAUAUUCCCGUGCUUCUCGUCACCGUAACGCGGUGACGGGGUGAUGAAGGGAUCGCGCGCUGACGGAAUAGCGCGUUGAAGGCCGUACCCGAUGAGGGUGGUAGUCAAGCACGCCACCCGAGGCGAAAGCCGAUAGUACCGCGAGACUUCGGUCGAGUGGAUAGCAUCCCGGCAAUUUACCCCCUAGAAAACCCGCUAAACUUCAAGUGACGAGGACCCGUACUGUAAACGGACACACGUGGUCGGGUAGAAUAUACCAAGGCGCUCGAGUGAUUCAUGGUCAAGGAACUAGGCAAAAUAGUCCUGUAACUUCGGGAAAAAGGACGCUCUAGUGAUAGAGCCGCAGAGUAAUGGCCCAGGCGACUGUUUACCAAAAACACAUGGCUAUGCCAAAUCGAAAGAUGACGUAUAUGGCCUGACACCUGCCCGGUGCCGGAAGGUUAAGAGGAGAGCUCAUCGGCAACGAGAAGGUUUGAAUUGAAGCCCCGGUAAACGGCGGCCGUAACUAUAACGGUCCUAAGGUAGCGAAAUUCCUUGUCGGGUAAGUUCCGACCUGCACGAAUGGUGUAACGAUCUGGGCACUGUCUCGACCAUGAGCUCGGUGAAAUUGUAGUUCCGGUGAAGAUGCCGGGUACCCGCGACGGGACGGAAAGACCCCGUGAACCUUUACUGCAGCUUCGCGUUGUUCCCGGGCACGGGACGUGUAGGAUAGGUCGGAGGCAAUGAAGCGGUUUCGCCAGGAAUCGUGGAGCCAUCGUUGAAAUACGACCCUUCUCUUGUCUGGGAUCUAACUCGUUUAUCGAGGACACCGCGUGGUGGGUAGUUUGACUGGGGUGGUCGCCUCCAAAAGCGUAACGGAGGCUUCCAAAGGUACCCUCGGGUUGAUUGGUAAUCAACCGUAGAGUGCAAUGGCACAAGGGUGCUUGACCGGGAGACCAACAAGUCGAUCGGGUGCGAAAGCAGGGCAUAGUGAUCCGGUGAUCCCGCGUGGAAGGGUCAUCGCUCAAAGGAAAAGCCAGCAAAAUUAUCGUUGAACAUUAUGAAGAAUCACCAUUUGUAUUCAGUCUCUAUUUUUCGCUUAUGGCAAAUCCGCAUAAUGUGUCCCCUAAUAAGGUGAUUGAAAAGUAUAAAAAGAACAUUUCGCUUCUGGAGGAAAUCUAUCUAAAGUAUUUAGAAUGUACCCAAAAUUACGAUUAUGAUGGAAGCUUUUUUGAGGCACUUAUUUCUAAGGAUAAGAAUUUUUUAUACCGAUAUCUAGACGAAUUACUUGCAAAAAAGAGACGCUUAUAUGGGCAACAUGAUGAAUGGGUUAGACGUCUAUUGCGCAUCUGGGCAGAAGACACAUAUCUACUGAGCAUGGAUUUGGUUUC
rnacentral:rRNA from 1 species